GACAGAGGGUGCAAACGUUGCUCGGAAUUACUGGGCGUAAAGCGCGUGUAGGCGGACCACCAAGUCGGACGUGAAAGCCCUGAGCUCAACUCAGGAACUGCAUCCGAAACUGGCGGUCUGGAGUAGUGGAGAGGAAAGCAGAAUUCCUGGUGUAGAGGUGAAAUUCGUAGAUAUCGGGAGGAACACCAAUGGCGAAGGCAGCUCGCUGGGACGUUACUGACGCUGAGACGCGAAAGCGUGGGGAGCAAACAGG
rnacentral:rRNA from 1 species